rnacentral:lncRNA from 1 species
GUUACCUGUAACGCAUGCAUUCAAUCGCCACUACUCUACCCUUGAAUCAGAACCGUUGUGGAGGGCAGCGCACUCUAUAUAAGCCGCCCUCCCCCACUGGUAAAAGGGUUAGAAAAACAUUGUACUCCAUAUUACACUCGGUAACAAGCUCCAAGAGCACUGAGACGUAGGGCUAUUACCUCCACCGUAGAGGGGCCUGAACUCAUA